UACAGAGGUGGCAAGCGUUGUUCGGAAUUACUGGGCGUAAAGGGCGCGUAGGCGGCCUUCUCAGUCGGACGUGAAAUCCCCAGGCUUAACUUGGGAACUGCGUCCGAUACUGGAUGGCUUGAGUGCGGGAGAGGGAUGUGGAAUUCCAGGUGUAGCGGUGAAAUGCGUAGAUAUCUGGAGGAACACCGGUGGCGAAGGCGGCAUCCUGGACCGACACUGACACUGAGGAGCGAAAGCCAGGGGAGCAAACGGG
rnacentral:rRNA from 1 species